AGGGUGUCAUUCCCUAGAUCGCACACUUGGUAAUCGAGGGACAGCAACCCAUGUCUUCCUGAGCCUACUUCACUAUCUUACACCUCAGGCCUGGUCAGACUGUGGCUUGCUAUGGGUUACCUAAUGAAGGCCUGGUGUCUGAGAUAUUUAUGCCUCAUAUCUUUUUCUUGCCUUUUUUCACUGGCAAGCAUCCCAUACCAAGUUGAGGACAGUGGAGCUUGCUUGCCAGAUAGUCAUCUGAGGGAAACUACUCGAGCUAUUCUUCCAAGACCAGGAAAGAUCAUCAAAAGAUUACUGCAGUGACCUUCUGGAAGGGUUCCUUGACUACAGAGCCAACAUCAUCAUUUUUCUCCUUUCCACUGUAGCCAUCUUCUGCAUUGAUUAUCCAAGACAUAUGUUUAUCUCUAUACCAUGCCCCAAAAUCUAUGGUGCCCCACUGUCAAAAUAUUAGAGUCCAAAACCUUCACUUGGCAUUCUAAAGGGUGAUUUUUUUUUUUUAGUCUUCUUUUCCUGUCUUACUGACCCACCCAUCCAUCGCAUAUACUCCGGUUCCCCACCACAGCCACAUAAAUAACCAAACACCUACCCCAACAUGUUCACAGUGCUGCAAACUCAACAUGCUUUGAACUUUAUUUCUCACUACCACUGUGCAGACAGUUCCUUUGGUAUAGAAGUCCCUGUUUGCACCUCUCCACAGCCCCAUUUUUGUCCACAUCGAACAUAUUAAGGUCAUUUAAAUCUUCCUUUUCAGUGAGGUUCCACAUCCACCAAAUGCCAGACAAGCUCUCAAACCAACCAUCUUGCAAAUAACAACUAUUAACUUUGGAAAAAAUUUAAAACAAACAAACAAAAAACAGCUACCUGAAGGCAUUGAAGAGCAACCAAAAGCAGGAGGAAUCUUAAUUGACUAUUGGAGGAAGGGACUAACAUCUGGAAGCAAUGGAAGUUGAAUUCUGGAAAAAAAGCAAGGUGGCUGAGUUGGGGGGACCCCUGUUGCAAUCUGAAAGGUGUAAUAGACCUCUGGAGCCAUAUUUGCCUGCCAACACGGUGUCUGGUGCUGCUGAGAGGUAAAUCUACCACAAUGCCUCAGGUCCAGGUAACUGGAACACUGCUCUGUUUUUUUUCCAACUUUGAAAAAUGCCUAACAAAAAAAUUGGGAGGAAAUACGAGGACCUGCAGGAUAAGAGAAAGGCAGUGAAAUAAUAUGAUGUGUAAGUAACAAAUUAGAGACACAGUUUGAA